AUUGGAAAUACUGUGACGAUAAUGUAAUUUACUUUAGAAUUUGAUUUUUGACUUUGAGCCACUGAUGAUGACUUCGAUUUGAAGUCGAAAUAUUUGGCAAAUUAAAAGAAUAAACUGAGCUAAUCCGACUUUAAAAUACAAAAUUAUUGAAGAAGCUCAUAAAAAACUACAA